CAUCUGAAUUACUCAACAGCUUUCCAAUGCACUCUCUUUCUGACGAUCCUAACAAUCGCCAGACCAAAGCCUUCCUUCCUUUCUCAUCAGACAUGGCUGAUGUCUCUUUCUAUCUUGAUCGGGUGGCUUUCGUUGAAGCCUUUGGAUGUGUCAUAAAGGUGGAUGAUGUUGUAGUCACCCUGGUGGCUGGAUCAUAGAACACUAAGAAACUUUUUGAAGAUAAUAAAUUCUUCGUCUCUUAUCCUUCCUCUGAAGUAGUUCAUCGUUUGAUGGCAUUGGGGCAUAUCAA
rnacentral:lncRNA from 1 species